rnacentral:rRNA from 1 species
UACGUAGGGUGCAAGCGUUGUCCGGAAUUAUUGGGCGUAAAGAGCUCGUAGGCGGUCUGUCGCGUCGGCUGUGAAAACCCGGAGCUCAACUCCGGGCCUGCAGUCGAUACGGGCAGACUGGAGUUCGGCAGGGGAGACUGGAAUUCCUGGUGUAGCGGUGAAAUGCGCAGAUAUCAGGAGGAACACCGGUGGCGAAGGCGGGUCUCUGGGCCGAUAUUGACGCUGAGGAGCGAAAGCGUGGGGAGCAAACGGG